AAACCUAACAAAGAUCUUGAUCCCACCGGCAGAAGAACCAAAAAUAUUGUUUUCAGAGAUAUUCUACGGUCUUCAAAAUGAAGUGACACCGGAGUCCAUCAUAAAUGGGAUAUGAGUUGGAAAUUAAAUUCUGGCGACAUGAUGUGAAGAUUCUGCAUCAUUAAAUUUUUAUAAUAUGUAUGUUAGAUGUAGCAUUCAUAUGUGGAUUUUCUG